rnacentral:lncRNA from 1 species
AUAUUUGGUUUAUGAAAUGGCCUUGUUCCUUCAUGAGCUUAUUCCACUCCAUCAUGUAAUCAGGGUUACAUGUAUAGCCUGUUAGCUUCUCCAUUUCUACAAUCUCUUUCACCCUAUUGAUUGAUUGCUCCCUCAGCUUUUGAACAAGGUUGUGAGCAGCUCCUUUUGCGGAUACCUUGAGGUGAUAAUACAUUUCCGAGUGGCGCGUCAAAACAGACAUCACCACAUCGUCUAUGUAAUCCCAAUACUUUUCGCUGAAUUUGAUAGGGAGACACGAUAUCCUCUCGACUUUUCUCCGUAAGAUACGAAGGAAUGCUUCACAGGGAAGGAAGUUCGGUAGUUCGAUCCCCCUAGCAUCUUCCAAACCCUUGAUCUCUUCUGUUAAAAAGUCUUUUGAUAGAUUACUUUCCUCGCAGUUGUGAAGCUCAUCAGAGAGCCAGUUCAGCAUUUCAACAAACCGAGCAGUCCCGUGCUUCGUGUUGUCCUCGGGGUAUUCAUCAAAUUCCCCCCUCCAAAGAAGUUUCUUGAGGGAUUCUUUAGCUGCUUGAAUGAUCCUCAUCAUAGCUUGAGUGGCAUCAGCAAUAGAAGUUAAGGCCUUUGGCAUUUUCUCUAGCUCUGAAACAUUUGCAUCCAGCUUUGCACUAAUGUUUUUAACAAUCUCUGGCAAGCACUUUGCAAUUGCAUUAGCUUGAAUUCGGACAAGCUUUUGAGCCAAAACAUGAACACCCACAAUUGAUUUAUCAAUACGUGACAAAUGUGCAUUAGUUUCGAACAAUCUAGCCUCUUCCUUCCUUGCUUCUUCAUAGGAUUCAUCACCAAUCCGAUUCCGAACACAAACAUAACCAAGUCCUAUAUUCACAUCAUCUGCAGUAACCUUGUCAACAAGCCCUUCGGGGGCCCUAUCUACUUUAGUAACCACGGCAAGAGUUCUCUCACCAUUCUUGUCCACUUGUUGCGACAUCCUAAUGGAUUCACAAGUUGAAAAAUCAACCGUAGCCGACAGAACAUUAAGGAUAAUGCUUUCCUUUGGUGUUAUGUACUGCAUGAUGAUGUCCCGGAUCUGCUCAUAUAUGUUGUCGGGCUGACCAUGGACAGGAACUCUGGUAAUUCCAGGAAGAUCAACCAUGGUAAGAUCAGGAACCCCAUCUUUUCUCACCACCAAAGUCAAAGGGAUGUCAGAUAUGCUCUUACCCGGGCCUGCAACCUCAUCAGUUGCAAUGUUUAUGGCUGUUGCAAUCUGGGGUUCCUCCACUGGGACCGUUUUGCCAUUGUACUCCAAGUAGAGCUCUAGCCCUUGCCUUGCAUGGUUCUGCAACCUGAUUAUAAGAGGUACCCUGGUGCAAAUGCCCUGGCUACGAGGAAGGUUAACACCAGCCAAGGAUUCAAGAACACUAGACUUGCCUGAUGACUGGUCUCCAACCACAACAAUUGUGGGGAGCUGUAUGCCUUCUUUCAUCACCAUGAGCAGCCUGAGCCUGUCGAUGACAUCAAGCAAAGGUCGGAUUUUGUCAUUGUAUGAUGAAAUAAUUGGGGCUUGGGCUGCUGCUGCUCCCACCACCUUAGGUUCUUCCAUAGGAGGAGUUGCUGGUUGAGAAUCUUCAUAAUCAUUGAUGACACCAAUGCUCCCUGAAUCAGCUUCAUCAUAGCUACCCAUUUUUUAGAAGUCGAGACAGGAUGGGAAUUGGCCAAACUUGAUGUUUUAGAUGGUUUUUUUUGUUGGAAGUUGGAAAGCAAUAAACUUGAACUAAAGUGAAGACAAAUUCAAUGAAGCAUGUUUGGCUUUAUAAUGAAAAUUAAAAUAGGGUAAAGCACCGAAAUUAGGAACAAUAAAGCGAUAGCAUCCUAUACCAAACCCCAAGAAACAAGCAAACGAAGCUACAAUGGGAAUGGAAAACUUUAUGUUAUACUUUGAAUUGUAGAAAAUAAUGAUACAAGGACAGAAGAGAGGAAACAGAACAAAAUCAAAUCGUGACCAACCAAAAGAUGAGUGUGUCGAUGACAGAAAGUUCGAAACAUAAACAGCCCCACAAGUUCCUACAGGAACUAGACAGCAGAACUAUAUGAAACAAUGUAUUCACAUUGAAGUUUCGGAUAGAUGCCACGUACAAGCCAUGUUGCCAUUACCUCAUAUGCUCUUUGUGUCAAAUGAGCUCCAUCCCAACUAAGCUGUUCAUUAGGGUUUUCGCAUACCGGUACUUUUGGAUCUCCGCACCAACUUGAUAAGCCAGAAUUGUAGUCUUCCCCAAUUCCGCAGCAAGCUUUUUGCAAUGAUGUUGGAUCAAAACCAGAUGAGAUUUUUCGAAAACUCAGAACAUGACUAGAACCAUUCACAGUACGAUCACAUAAACUUAUGGAUGCAAAUAAAUCAGACUUACCAAGCAGAUCAGCUUUGCUCAAAAGCCACAGGAAUGCAUUGUAGUAGUCACCGUAGACAACGAUUACAUCUGGAUGUUUUUCUUUUAGCUGAUCAGCAAUAGCUUGUUGAAGAAGAUGAUUAUGAUAGAUUGAAAAAAAGGCUUGACUUCGUCCCUUUCGUAUACCUACUCUAAGACAAAAAAAAAAUCAUUUUAUUAAUUAAGCUUUUUGUUUAUUAAUAAUUUGUUUUUUUUUCAAAUUCAUUAAAUACAAUUAAAAACAUUUGGAAGAAAAAUCUAAUGGUAGACUAGAUAUAGUUAAGAUAAUAUCUAACAGAGAGAUCGAUGUUCGAGUAUUUGUUGAAGUUCCUACGUAACUUUUAAUAAUUUUACAAACGGAUAGAGAUAAUAGUUUAUUCGAACAUUUAUUUUUAAUAGAGUGAAGAAACCCAAUUAUUUAAUUUAUGGGUAAACUACAUAAAGGGUAACACAAGUAUAAAAAGUUACAAAAUGUUCAUCUAACUAUUCAAUAUUGUUUUUUUAGAUCACCCGGCUAACGGUGGCUACUUUUAAAAUUUGAAUAAUAGAAAUUUAACCCUCAACACUUAUAUAUUGUAUCAAUUUAGUCUUGAUUCUAAAAAAAAAUUUAACUCUCAACAUUUACACAUUGUAUAAUUUGGUCUCUCUUUUUGUAAUUUUGCUUUUCUUUGUGACAUUUAGUGUUAAUUUUAAAAGAAUAAGAAAAGAAAAAAAAUAUUAUCUUAGAUUUCUGGGUGCUCCUAUUUUUUAUAUAUUUUUAAUCAAAUUUAACUGAUAAAUUUAUUUUUAACUUUUUAAGUGAAAGGGUAAAGAAAAACAAAGUUGUACUAGAAAAAAGAAGAUCAAACUACCCAAUGUAUAAAUGUUGAUAGUUAAUUAUUUCUGGAAUCAAGAUUAAAUUGACAUAAUUUAUAAAUAUUGAGGGUUAAAGUUGAUAUUAUGCGAAUAUUAAAAGUUGCCACCGAUGAUCAGUAACCAAAAAAGACAAAACUGAAUAACUUAGUGAUCAUUUUGUAACUCUUCAUAAAUUUUAGUACAAAAUUAAGUGAAUGUUAACGUGUUUGAGGCAAAUCUCGAUGAACAUGUCAUGCAACGCAUAGCUAAAGGGGUAGAUAAGAGCUUUAGACCUCUUUUAGUUAAAUGGUAUCAUUAUGAUUAUAGUGCCUCUUAAAUGUCAAUUGUUUAAUUUAGUUCCUUUCUAGCUUUUAUUUAAAUGGAACAAUUGUAAUUUAGACCCUUUUCAAAUGUUUAAAUUUAAUUUCAGUUAUUUUAACGUAAAAUAUUUUAGCUUUGUCCCCUAUUUUUUUAAUUUUAUCUUGGCUCUUCAUCACAUAAUUCAUGACUGACAUAUAUGCCAUAGGUCAUAAGAUUGAGUCAAACUAUGCAAAAACUCUUUAGUUUCACCUGUUUGAGCACUUCAAGGCGUUCUCACUCUCUAAACCCACCAAGGAUCUAGACAAAGUCGGGAGACAAAACUCCGACUGGGGACAAUACUGGACUUGCUUAUAUCUGCUUUAUAGUUGUAUUUGUAGCAUACAAUGUAUAUUUUGUCAAAUUUGAAUACUUCUUGUUUGCUUGUCUAUUAUUCUUUUGAUAGAAGAUACAACUUUCUUUAUUUGUAUGUCCAUAUAAUUUGUUACAUUCGAUCUGUGAACCAUAUUUGACCUUCAUAUUGUCAACCAUGCCACUUGUUCAAUGGAAAAUUACCUUUGUUGAUUUGUUCUUGGUUGACAUUAAGUUCAAGGUUCGAAUCAGGAAAACCAAUCUCUCUCCCCUUAUUAUAUUUAUGUAUAUACAUGUAUUUGACCUUCAUGUUUGUUGGUGAGAAAAUGGUACAGAGUAAAUUGAAUUUUGCUUUUUGUUUGGUGUGUUUCCUAGGGAAAGCUUUAUGGAAGCCAACAAGAAUGGAAAUUUGGUUGAUGUUGAUCGGAAGGCGUUCGAAACUUGGAAAAAAUGAGCGAGGAGGUAUAGGUCCCUUGCUCCUCCCACUUUGUCAUAACUUUUCAUUGGAAGUUUUCUGUUGUAAUUUUGUAUUGAGUAUCGUCCCGAGUAUUUUCUUUAAUAGGAGAGGAAACCAUAUGUUACUCAGCCUACAUGAAGGAUAUGACUGAAGCGGAUAAAAAUAUUGUAAAGGUAACUGGGAUUCAGAGUUUAUGGAUGCUAAUUUCGUAUAAUUUAAACUUUCUAGAGCGACCUAAAUAUGUUGUUGGUGUAAUUGGUGAAAUUGUUUGUUGUGCUUUCAUAGCAAUGCUGAUACAUUCUGAAUAUUUGAUCAUGGAACUUGUUCCGUAGAUUCUUAAUUCAGAACUAUGAAUAGGGGCAUACUAAGGCAUACUAAAGAUGCAUGAUUUUGAACUCAUGAUCCUCUCAUCUUUACAUAAUCUAUGUUGCCACUCGGUUUUCUCCCUAUCGUUGUCAAUUAUUGUCAUCACAAUUGCUUUUCAAUGAUUUUUUCAGUUAGAAUUAGUAUCUUUUCCUUGUUUUGUCCACAAAAGCAAGAAUGAUAUAUGAUAGCUGUGAUUUAUCUGACAAUUAGCUUCUCUAAAUCUUUCACCCUAAUCAAUUGUCAAAAAUUUGCUGUUCUAGUGCUUAUUGGCUUCUCGUUUUUAACUUGAAAGUUAACUUAUCUAUUGUUCAAACAUCAAAAUGGAACAAAGUUUUGCAUCAUAUUCGAAGUUAUUAAUGAGUUAUUUUCUUUAGGUGGAUGAUGAGGCUGAUUCAGCAAUGGUUGGGAAAUUUGAUGAGGUUUGUAUAUAUGUUUGGAGCACAAAAAACAUAGCAAAUAUAGAUAAAUUUACGUAUUGUAUAUCUACUUGUGCUUAAACUAAGUCAUUCCCCUGCCAGUUGAGGCUCUGAAACCUUUGGGCACUGAAGUUCGAGUUUCACUAUGUAAAUCAUGUGUUGGUUCUCCCCCAGAUUUAUUUUGUUUACUUAGUUAGAGUUGAGUUAGCUUCAGUGAAUGUAACGAUUGAUUAUGUUAGUUCCCCCCUCUUUUGCCACCUCUUCUUCGUUGAAUUUACAGUUCUAUGAAGAUUAUGGGUACUAUGAAACAUCUGAUGAUGAUGGUGAACCAUACCACUCUGGAGGAUUCAAGAGCUUAAACACAACUGAACAGUAAUCGAAGUCUUCCCCACAUUUCAGUUCAAUUACCUAACUUAACCGCAAUCAUAUAUUGUGCACAAGACCGAUAAGUUAUGGCUUUCAUGAAGCAGGGAAACUGCUAUCGAGGGCGGAACUUGAAGAUGUUCUGGUUUUUGUUUCAUGUCAAUGGACCUUAUCCAACUGGCAAUGGUGGAAAAAAAAAGUUUGCCAUUUUGAUUCAUUUGUUAAGGCAAAUCAUUUGGCUAUUGUAAAGUAGUUAUAGGGGUUUUAGCCUUCGAAGCAGAUUGGUAUUUGUUUUGCUAUUUGGCAGUGGCAGUGGCAAUGGCAAUGGGGGUUUCACAGGUGAGUGGCAAGGGCUAUAGAGGAAGCAUCAUUUUGUCUAUAUUUUUUUAGUUUUAUGGAAUUUGGUUGAUGGAAUAGGUGAUAUGUUGGGUUGGAUAAAAUAAUCUAUAUUUUAUUGAAGUUAUGUUUGUUUUUAUCUGUUAGAAAAUUGAAGAAUGAUAUUAGAAAAUAUUUAGUCAAAUAAUUUGUAUUAAUAAUAGUUAAUUAUGCCUUUGUGGCUAAGCUCAUGGAAAUCAUUUAAAAAUAAAAUCUAAUAAAUAAUUAAACAUAUGAUUUAAAAUUAAUAAUAAUAACAAAGUAAUAUGUACGAAAUUUAAAUAGGUAAAUACAUUUGAUUAAGCUUUAUGUUCUGUUCUAAAUUUGGUUUCUUAAUACUUCUUCUGAAUAAGUUGGUGUCGAGUUGAUUCAUGAUACCAAUUUAGUCACAUGGUUAAAUAACUAUAUAGAUACAAAAGUUAAAUAUUUAAGAUGAUUGAUGCCUUCUGAACAUAACACCAUUUAAAUUUAUAUAAAUGUAUGAAAAUACGAAAAAUACUCAAUAACAAUAUUUAUUAAUAAUUUAAAUUUUGAUUUUUUUUAGUUUUCUUUUAUUCAAUUGGUGUCAAGUUAAAUCGUGACGCUGAUUCAGUUACAAUAUAUAGAAUAUGACGUGAGUGACAGACCAAUUUUAUUUAAAAUUUUAAUAUAAAAUAACAAUAAAGGUUUGAUUGAAACGGAAAAAUUAAAGAUUUAAGUUGCUUGAUGUCUUAUGUAAAGGUUUAAAUCGCAUCAUUUGCUUAUUUCCUUAAGUUUAAGUUGUUCCUUAUAACUUUUAUAAAAAUGUGUGAAAAUACAAAAACACCCUAUGAUAAUGUUUAUUAAUUGUUUAAAAUUUGAGUUUUUAGUACUUCUCUAAUUAAAUUAGUGUCGAGUUGAUUCGUAACAUCAACUCAAUCACACUUAAAUUAAAGUUUCCAUACAUAGAACACCAGGUGGGUGAGAGUGAUAGACGAGAUUUAUGAAAAAAAUUCAUGUAAAAUAACAAUGAAGUUUCGGUUAAAAUAAUAAAUUUAAUUUGUAAUAUUUAUAAUGAUAAAUUUACACAGAAUACUUGCCAUUUGCAUAUUUUUUAUAAGUUUAUUUUAUUUUUUAAAAUAAAGUUUAUAUAAAGGUAUGAAAUGCAAAACUACCUUAUAAUAAUAUUUAUUAAUCGUUAAAAUUUUGAUUUUUUUAAUACUUUGUCUAAUCGAGUUGGUGUCGAGUUAGUCAAUGAUAUAAUUUAGACAUAUAAUUAGACAACAGUGUAAAAGUGUAGAUACAUAGAUCACAAUGCGCGUGAUAAGCAAAUUUUAUGUAAAAAAAAACUCAUAUAAAUAUUAUAUUAAUAGAUGAGAACAUCUGUAUUUAAUAAUUAGACAACAGUGUAAAAAUGUAGACACAUAGAUUACAAUGGGCGUGAUAAGCAAAUUUUAUGUAAAAAAACUCAUAUAAAUAUUAUAUUAAUAGAUGAGAACAUCAGUAUUUAAAAAAAAAAAUCCAGAAAGCUGAUUGCAUACCAAGGCUUGGAACAUGGCAAUCAUGGUACACAAAAAAGCCAAAAAAAAUUUAGCAAUAAGAUUUCAUAAAGAUAUAAAUUGUUUACAACAGUAAAUUAACACAAGAAAAUAAAAAUAAAACAAAGUAGAAAACUAACCCCCACCCCCAAUUUGCCGUCCACAGUAGUUGUGACCUUAUUAUAUAAUCUUCAAUCCUUAAUAAUCUAUACUAUAUAUAUAGAACACAGACACUUAAAACAUGCAAUAAGCAAACCAUGAUAAUGACCCAAAUUUUAUGUGAAAAUAUUAAACCAAGCAAGCAUCAUAAGCAACAAUCCCAUCCAUGAUCUUGGCCACACUAUCUUUGGACUCCUUUAACACCUUGAUGCUGUUUUUAAGCUUCUCACGCUUUGCAACAAUGGCAGGAGAUUCCACCAGCAUCAUCUUUAUCCCAUGUCCAUCUGGUCCCAUCAGCUCCUUCACAAUCUCAUCAAUGUCAUUGUGUACAAGAUUAUGAACAUGGUAUCGUAAAUGCAAUGCCAUGGAAUCAACCAAUCUCACCUUAAAUACCUUCCAAUAAGCAACCAUUCUCAUCUUCAGGUCGAAAGCUUGUUGCAGGAUCGAAACAUCCGAGUGUUUUCUGAGAUGUUCGAUUUGGAUUUCCCCUAAACCUUCGAGAUCCACACUGCAAGGCAGCGGCCGCAUGUUUGUUCCAGAUAUUUGGUUCAUGAAAUGGUCUUGUUGCUUCAUGAGCUUAUUCCACUCCAUCAUGUAAUCAGGGUUACAUGUGUAGCCUGUUAGCUUCUCCAUUUCUACAAUCUCUUUCACCCUAUUGAUUGAUUGCUCCCUCAGCUUUUGAACAAGGUUGUGAGCAGCUCCUUUUGCGGAUACCUUGAGGUGAUAAUACAUUUCCGAGUGGCGCGUCAAAACAGACAUCACCACAUCGUCUAUGUAAUCCCAAUACUUUUCGCUGAGUUUGAUAGGGAGAUACGAUAUCCUCUCGACUUUUCUC